rnacentral:misc_RNA from 1 species
GUGAAGAACGCAGCGAAAUGCGAUAAGUAAUGUGAAUUGCAGAAUUCAGUGAAUCAUCGAAUCUUUGAACGCACAUUGCGCCCGCCAGUAUUCUGGCGGGCAUGCCUGUCUGAGCGUCAUUUCAACCCUCAUGCCCCUAGGGCGUGGUGUUGGGGAUCGGCCAAAGCCCGCGAGGGACGGCCGGCCCCUAAAUCUAGUGGCGGACCCGUCGUGGCCUCCUCUGCGAAGUAGUGAUAUUCCGCAUCGGAGAGCGAUGAGCCCCUGCCGUUAAACCCCCAACUUUCCAAGGUUGACCUCAGAUCAGGUAGGAAUACCCGCUGAACUUAAGCAUAUCAAUAAGCGGAGGA